CAUGAAUCAUCUGUGGACUGAAGCAGCACAGAGCUGAAAGAUGAGCUCCACCUGAAAGUGAAAAUGCUGCUACUAGUGUGUAAAGAGGAGGAAGUGAGAGAAGUUCAAACCCAGAUCAGAGAGGAGGAGGAGAGAUUCAGGGAGGAGCUGAGCUGUUACUGAACUAGAAGAGAGAGAAACCUCCACAUUCAACAGAGUUCAGCACACAAACCAUAAACUUUACCUUCAUUCAACAUGUUGUCUUUGGACUAUUAUGCACUUUCUUUACUGAUUCUCACCAUUCUAACAGGUGUCAGCUGUGAAGAUCUCACUCCAACCAACAAAGAAGUGUUCAGUGUAGAAGGCAGCACUGCUACUCUGUCCUAUAGAUACUCCAAAAAGGCAGCUGGAAAGGAUCGCUUCUUCUGGUAUCGACAAUAUCCUGGAAAACCACCAGAGUUCCUGAUCUCUCAUUUACCAUCCGGAGAAGUAAUGAAAGAAGAAAUGUCUGGACUGUCUGUUAAUGUGAUUGAAGAUAAAACACUGAUGACUCUUCAGAUCUCCUCUGCUGCAGUGACAGACUCUGCUGUGUACUACUGUGCUCUGCAGCCCACAGUGACAGGAAACACCAGAACUCUGUACAAAAACCUUUGGAGCAAAGACAACAGAAUACUCCACAACAUCCACUAGAGGGAGCCACACACUG